CUGCAUGGCUGUCGUCAGCUCGUGUUGUGAAAUGUUGGUUAAGUCCCGCAACGAGCGCAACCCUUAUCCUUUGUUGCCAGCGGUCCGGCCGGGAACUCAAAGGAGACUGCCAGUGAUAAACUGGAGGAAGGUGGGGAUGACGUCAAGUCAUCAUGGCCCUUACGACCAGGGCUACACACGUGCUACAAUGGCGCAUACAAAGAGAAGCGACCUCGCGAGAGCAAGCGGACCUCAUAAAGUGCGUCGUAGUCCGGAUUGGAGUCUGCAACUCGACUCCAUGAAGUCGGAAUCGCUAGUAAUCGUGGAUCAGAAUGCCACGGUGAAUACGUUCCCGGGCCUU
rnacentral:rRNA from 1 species